UACGAACGGCCCAACCGUUAUUCGGAUUUACUGGGCUUAAAGAGUCCGUAGGCGGCGCAGUAAGUAGGGUGUGAAAGCCCUCGGCUCAACCGAGGAAUUGCGCCCUAAACUACCGUGCUCGAGGAAGAUAGAGGUGAGCGGAACUUACGGUGGAGCGGUGAAAUGCGUUGAUAUCGUAAGGAACACCCGUGGCGAAAGCGGCUCACUGGGUCUUUGCUGACGCUGAGGCACGAAAGCUAGGGGAGCAAACGGG
rnacentral:rRNA from 1 species